UACAGAGGGGGCAAGCGUUGUUCGGAAUUACUGGGCGUAAAGGGCGCGUAGGCGGCCUGUUAAGUCGGACGUGAAAUCCCUCGGCUCAACCGGGGAACUGCGUCUGAUACUGGCGGGCUUGAAUUCGGGAGAGGGAUGUGGGAAUUCCAGGUGUAGCGGUGAAAUGCGUAGAUAUCUGGAGGAACACCGGUGGCGAAGGCGGCAUCCUGGACCGACAUUGACGCUGAGGCGCGAAAGCCAGGGGAGCAAACAGG
rnacentral:rRNA from 1 species